GAGACCCGUGCCCACUGUUACCAGCAUGUCCUCCGGGACGAUGGGUACUCUGUGGGGACCGCCGGUGUUAAAUCGGAGGAAGGUGCGGGCCACGGUAGGUCAGUAUGCCCCGAAUUUCCCGGGCUACACGCGGGCUACAAUGAAUGGGACAAUGGGUCCCUACCCUGAAAAGGGCUGGUAAUCUCACAAACCCAUCCGUAGUUCGGAUCGAGGGCUGUAACUCGCCCUCGUGAAGCUGGAAUCCGUAGUAAUCGCGUUUCAAUAUAGCGCGGUGAAUAC
rnacentral:rRNA from 1 species